rnacentral:rRNA from 1 species
UACGUAGGGUGCGAGCGUUGUCCGGAAUUAUUGGGCGUAAAGGGCUUGUAGGCGGUUUGUCGCGUCUGCUGUGAAAAUCCGGGGCUCAACCCCGGACUUGCAGUGGGUACGGGCAGACUAGAGUGUGGUAGGGGAGACUGGAAUUCCUGGUGUAGCGGUGAAAUGCGCAGAUAUCAGGAGGAACACCGAUGGCGAAGGCAGGUCUCUGGGCCACUACUGACGCUGAGAAGCGAAAGCAUGGGGAGCGAACAGG